CGGAGGAUCCGAGCGUUAUCCGGAUUUAUUGGGUUUAAAGGGUGCGCAGGCGGGGGAUUAAGUCGGCGGUGAAAUUUUGCAGCUCAACUGUAAAAGUGCCUUCGAAACUGGUUUCCUUGAGUGUGGAUGUAGUAGGCGGAAUUUGUGGUGUAGCGGUGAAAUGCAUAGAUAUCACGAGGAACUCCGAUUGCGCAGGCAGCUUACUAAACCAUAACUGACGCUCAGGCACGAAGGCGUGGGGAUCAAACAGGAUUAGAUACCCUGGUAGU
rnacentral:rRNA from 1 species